GGUGAACGCUAGCUACAGGCUUAACACAUACAAGUCGAGGGGUAACGAGAGGAAAGCUUGCUUUCCUUGUCGACGACCGGCGCACGGGUGAGUAACGCGUAUCCAACCUGCCCCCAACUAGGGAAUAACCUUGCGAAAGUAAGACUAAUACCCUAUAAUUUCCUCAGAUGUCAUCUGACGAGGAAUAAAGAUUUAUCGGUUGUGGAUGGGGAUGCGUCUGAUUAGCUUGUUGGCGGGGUAACGGCCCACCAAGGCAACGAUCAGUAGGGGUUCUGAGAGGAAGGUCCCCCACAUUGGAACUGAGACACGGUCCAAACUCCUACGGGAGGCAACAGUGAGGAAUAUUGGUCAAUGGGCGGAAGCCUGAACCAGCCAAGUAGCGUGCAGGAUGACGGCCCUAUGGGUUGUAAACUGCUUUUAUACAGGAAUAAAGUUAGCCACGUGUGGUUAUUUGUAGGUACUGUAUGAAUAAGGACCGGCUAAUUCCGUGCCAGCAGCCGCAGUAA
rnacentral:rRNA from 1 species